rnacentral:rRNA from 1 species
AUACGUAGGGUGCGAGCGUUGUCCGGAAUUACUGGGCGUAAAGAGCUCGUAGGUGGUUUGUCGCGUCGUCUGUGAAAUUCCGGGGCUUAACUCCGGGCGUGCAGGCGAUACGGGCAUAACUUGAGUACUGUAGGGGAGACUGGAAUUCCUGGUGUAGCGGUGAAAUGCGCAGAUAUCAGGAGGAACACUGGUGGCGAAGGCGGGUCUCUGGGCAGUAACUGACGCUGAGGAGCGAAAGCAUGGGUAGCGAACAGGAUUAGAUACCCUGGUAGUCCAUGCCGUAAACGGUGGGCGCUAGGUGUAGGGGUCUUCCACGACUUCUGUGCCGUAGCUAACGCAUUAAGCGCCCCGCCUGGGGAGUACGGCCGCAAGGCUAAAACUCAAAGGAAUUGACGGGG